rnacentral:rRNA from 1 species
GAUGAACGCUAGCGGGAGGCCUAACACAUGCAAGCCGAGCGGUAUUGUUUCUUCGGAAAUGAGAGAGCGGCGUACGGGUGCGUAACACGUGUGCAACCUGCCUUUAUCUGGGGGAUAGCCUUUCGAAAGGAAGAUUAAUACUCCAUAAUAUAUUGAACGGCAUCGUUUAAUAUUGAAAGCUCCGGCGGCUAGAGAUGGGCACGCGCAAGAUUAGCUAGUUGGUGAGGUAACGGCUCACCAAGGCGAUGAUCUUUAGGGGGCCUGAGAGGGUGAUCCCCCACACUGGUACUGAGACACGGACCAGACCCCUACGGGAGGCAGCAGUGAGGAAUAUUGAUCAAUGGGUGCAAGCCUGAACCAGCCAUCCCGCGUGAAGGACGACUGCCCUAUGGGUUGUAAACUUCUUUUGUAUAGGGAUAAACCUACCCUCGAGAGGGUAGCUGAAGGUACUAUACGAAUAAGCACCGGCUAACUCCGUG